rnacentral:tRNA from 1 species
AAUGCUGUAGCUUAGUGGUAGAGCACAUGCCUAGCAUGCACGAGAUCCUAGGUUCAAUUCCCAGUAUCU